rnacentral:rRNA from 1 species
GACGAACGCUGGCGGCGUGCUUAACACAUGCAAGUCGAACGGAAAGGCCCUGCUGGCAGGUUACUCGAGUGGCGAACGGGUGAGUAACAUGUGGGCGAGCUGCCCGGCAGUUCGGGAUAAGCCGGGGAAACUGGGACUAAGACCGCAUAGGAGCCAUUGUCAGUGGGAUGGUUGGAAAGUUUUUUCGGUGUAGGAUGAGCUCGCGGCCUAUGAUCUUGUUGGGGGGGUAAUGGCCUACCAAGGCGGCGACGGGUAGGCGGACUGAGAGGGUGGACCGCCACAUUGGGACUGAGAUGCGGCCCAGACUCCUAAGGGAGGCAGCAGUGGGGAAUCUUGCACAAUGGGCGCACGCCUGAUGCAGCGACGCCGCGUGGGGGAUGCCGGCUUUCGGGUUGUAAACUCCUCUCGCUAGGGACCAAGCUUUUUGUGACGGUACCUAGAUAAGAAGCACCGGCUAACUACGUG